rnacentral:rRNA from 1 species
CCUACGGGAGGCAGCAGUGGGGAAUAUUGGGCAAUGGAGGAAACUCUGACCCAGCAACGCCGCGUGAAUGAUGAAGGUCUUCGGAUUGUAAAGUUCUUUUCUAAGGGAAGAAGAAAGUGACGGUACCUUAGGAAUAAGCCUCGGCUAACUACGUGCCAGCAGCCGCGGUAAUCCGUAGGAGGCGAGCGUUAUACGGAAGGACUGGGCGGAAAGGGUGCGUAGGUGGUUUGGCAAGUUAGUAGCGUAACUCCAAGGCGCAACAUUGGAACUACUACUAAAACUGUUGGACUUGAGUGCAGGAGGGGCAACCGGAAUUCCUAGUGUAGCGGUGGAAUGCAUAGAUAGUAGGAGGAACACCAGUGGCGAAGGCGGGUUGCUAGACUGUAACUGACACUGAGGCACGAAAGCGUGGGGAGCAAACAGGAUUAGAUACCCCAGUAGUC